CCCAUAACGACCAUCAUCAUUAUCGUCACCCUACUCGACGAAAUCAGCAGCAACUCCAGGGCGAGGCCGCAACCCCUGAACUUAUCAUGCCUUAGAGAAAGUCUCCAGAAGGUGCAGAAGCCGAGGAUGCAGGAAUGGUAACUAAACAAGAGCCUACAAGAAGAUCGACACAGUUGCCUUCGAAACCUGCUCCUCCUAAACCUGAAGCAAAACACAAUAAAACAGCUGCCAAGAAGGAACCAGAGGCAAAGGCAAACAAAGGUGCUAAAGGGAAGAAGGAAGAAAAACAACAAGCUGGAGAGGAACGU